UUGUAAUAACACAGUAUUAUUAUAUCAUUAAUAAUAAGAAGAUAAAGUUUGUGCUACUUGCUACACACCAUUAUAGAGCUUGCAAGUAGGCAAAGUUGCAGACGAAAUUGUAAAAGCUUAAACUAAAAACAGAGGGUUUUAUUUUAUUAUUAUUAUGUUGUUGGACAGCUUAAAGAAACAGACACAGUUAUUUAACUAAGUUCCACCAUAUACAUGGUUGGAUAUGCAAACAUGCUAGACAAUUAUUAAAAUCCCCCAUAGCCGAUCCAACAAGAGUUUGCUGAUAGAAAACCUGAUCCAUCCCACUCAAGCGUCUUCCCCAUAACCUUUUUGCAGAGCAUAUUGCACAAGAGAAUUCAUCUCCUCAUCUCCGCGUAUGACAUUGUCUUUAUUUUUAUCAGCAUAAUUCAUCGCCUCUUCAGUUUCCUUGUGAGGCAUUUUUGCUCCUAGAUGUUCAAAAGCCUCCCUGAGCUGAGAGUUGUUCAGGCUGCCCCCCUUAGCAUAACUAUUAAACACUCCUUCCAAUUUUUUUUUCAAUGCAUCAGCACUUUGACCACUGCGCUGAGAAAACUGUGCCAUCGCGAUACAAGCUUGCUUUGUAUUGUUUGAAAGUUUAGGAAGGGAGAGAUAGGCUCUUCACUACUCUUCUGCUUGGUUUAUUUUCCUUGCAUGCAAUUUAACUUGUUUAUAUAGACCGAAAACGCGAAUAAGAAUAUGUUAUAGGAGGGGAAUAAAACAUUUUUUUAUGUUGGUGGGCUUAAAGUAUGAUUUAGACUGAAAGCAAAGAAUAUAUAUAUAUAUAUAUAUAUGUUUUUUUUUCCUUCUUUCUUCACACCCGUUGUCCUUAAAUUGUUUGAGUUGAUCACUGCUACUCCACCCAAAGGCGUCUAUCGAUUCGCUCUUCUGAGACACAACUCUCAAAUUGUAAGGACCAUUGAAGGCCAAUCUCAUGGUUUAUAUUCCCAGAGGAUUGGAUUGGUUCGAUUAAGAAUAUUCUUAAUAUGUCAAUUUCUUCUUCACUGCUUCGGCCUAGAAACCACAGAUUGAAAAAUGCUAAGCCGAAGGAUAGUAGCCUUCUCGCCUCUCCCUUGGCUUCCUUCCAGAUUUAUCAAAAAUUUGUAAUUAGUUAAUUUUGCUGAGAAAAGUCAUUUUGGUAAUUCAUUUGCAAUAUUUUCCACUUUGCCAUACAAUAUUCAAGUUCAAUCAUUUUGUUUUAAAAUUUUUUUAUGAACCAAUUCAAUUACCUUCUUUUCGAUGGAAUGACAUGAAUUACAAGUAAAGAUUUCAAUUACAAUUAAACAAUUUUCUUAUAUAUUACAUAGAACAUGAAAGAAAUCAAAUAAAUAAACCAACUAAUUAGAUAAAUCAUUAUAUAUCAAAUUACACUGAAUUUCUAAAGCCAAUUAACAAUAAUGACUUUUUCCAUCAAAAACGAAUCAUUUAAUAAGAGCUUAAUUAAUUAGUGAUUGAUUAUUAAAUUACUUGCACUAUAAUUUAGUAGCAUAUAUAUUAUCAUAAUUUUUUAACCUAGAAGAGUUUGAAAGCUUUUGUUUAUUUAUAUUUAAUUUAUAAAAUAUUAUGACACCCCAUGCUUUUUUUUGUCUUCAAUCAACAAAAAAGUGCUUGGCUGAAAUGGGUCGCCAUAUUCUCCUCAGGGCUCUUCGCACGUACCAAAAUACCGGAAAUGCUUUGUCAUGGCAAUAACGUAAUAAUGCUGUCCACAGGAAGGCGAAUUUGAGAUAAGCUAGACUCUUUUCUUGUUAAUUUCUCUUAUCACCAUCGCAGCAUCACUUUCAACCUUUACGAUUCUUUCUGAUCUCUUUCCCAUGGGAAAGAUUCCAGGCUUGCCGAAACAAGAGCAGACAGAUAUGUAUUCCGUUUCCCUUCCUUUUAAGCCUGUAUUCCUUUGUGCUGAGUAUAAUUUCCUCCACUUUUUUGACUAGGGAAUCCCAUGACUACUAGUCAAAUGUGGGAUAUGUUAGAACGUCGUUUGCUGUGUCAUUCUUUCUAAUAAAACCUCAUUUCAGAUAGCCAAAUAAUUAAAAGGGUAUGUACUCAUUGAUCCAUGCAGUACUUCAUCAUCAACUAUACCAUGAGAAGGAAAAUUGCAGAAAAGAUCCACGAGCAUGGAGAAUCAGAAUACCUUGCUCUCUCUCCUGUUGGCUGGAUACAGAAUCGUAACGUCAAAAAGUACUGUGUAUUUCAUGACUGUAUUUCACAAAAAAAUUUUUCCUUCCGGAGAACAGACCAUACAAUGUGUAUAUAGUCACAUCUUAUGAAUUGGAGCAAGAAUUGUGAGAUUUUGACAGCUAUGUUCGACUUCUACAUUGUGUUUUCCUGGGUGCAGACACCUACCAAGGACCUCAAAUAUAUUAUUAAAAAAAAAUAUAUAAAUAAAUAAAUCAAUAAUAGAAAAAGAAUAAAAAGUAAUAAUAAUAAUAAUAAAAAGGAAUAGAGAAGGAAAAAGACUGAACGUUUGCUCAACGUCCCUCUCCAGGCCUAUGGCCACCCUAGGUUUCUAAUUAUCACCACGGGCAACAGACAUUUGAUGGCCCUGGAAGCAGCCGGACUUGGGAGAGGAGGGGUCACCUCCGGCUGCCACACUCAAGCAUCCUGUUGCCAGGAGUCUUGUGAAAUCAUGCCCAGAAGAGCAUGAUUUCACUAUUGAGACUAUAAAAACGAAGGACGCCGGAUUGCAAAAAGGAGGAAGGGAGGAGAAAUUUUUCAAAAAAAAUCCAGAGAGUGAUUUAAACAAAAAAUCUAGCAACUAAAAAUCCCAGAACAGUACCCAAAAAUCCUAGUUUUUCACUCUAGCAGCCGGUGAAAUACCCAACAAAUCACAAAAAAAAAACAAAAAAUACCCUAAUUUCUACGAACUGAAACCACAAUCAACGCCACAAGAAAAAAAGAACCCAAAAAAGAAGAGCCAAGGAAACAUAAAAAACAGAGAGCCAAUCUUUUUUUUUUUUUUAAAAAGGAGAUGUGAGGAAAUGAGUUUUGUGGGGGAAAUGAGUGUGGGAGUGAAAGGAUGGUUUGGGUAGCGUGAGAAGGAGAGAAAGUUGAUGUUUUGGUGUGAGUAAGGUUGAAAUCAAGAGAGGAGACGAGAGGAGUUUGAGAGAAAGAGGGAAGGUUGAAAAUCGUGUAGAGAGAAGGGGAAAGGAACGGCAGCUAGAGAGAGAAAAUGGAAGGGAGAAAAACAAAAGGGAGCUUUUAUAGUUAGGGUUUAGGUGUUUUAGUGCCAAAACAACGUCGAUUUGGGGUAUUCUGAAGCCAUUACAACAAGCACCAAGCGGUGUGUUUUGAAGUCUGGUGGUUGGCAAUCCGUGGGUCUCAUGCUUAUACCAAGCCCACGUGUUUUUAAACCUAUUGUUUUUGGGCUUCUUGUCAAGCAUAAGGUAAAUCUCUUGGAUCAUUUCAUUUUUUGUAUUUAGGUUAUUGUUUUGCACUUUGACGGUUGAAUUUUGUGUGAUUUGUUGUAUUGGUUAAGUUUAUUAUGUUUUUUGUAAAUAUAAAAAUAUAUAUUUUCUGAAAAUAUGAUGGAGUGCAAAUAUAUAUAUUUUUGGGUCCAAAGAUUAGGAAAUUGAAAUGAACAAAAAACUAAAAAUAAUAAUAAUAAAAUGCAUAGCUACAAAAAACAUAAAUUUAGAUGAAUAAAAAAUUAAAAAAUAUAUUUUUAUUAAGGAAGAUUUAGUUUGUUUUCAAAAAAUAAUAAUAAUAUAUGUGGAGAAAUAAACAUUUGAAUGCAAGGACAUAGAUUUAGAUAGGAUAUGUAUAUAAAAAGUAAGGAAAAUAGAGAAGAAAGUAUCUUAGUCAAAAUAAAUUAGGUUAGUAAACAAAAUGAAAAAUGUUUAGUCAAGCAAGUACAAAAAUAUAUAUAUUUGGUCAUGGAAAAUAGGUUAGGUGAAUUAGCAAAAAUAGGAAAAGUAUUUAUUUCCAAAAAGAUAGAAAAAUGAUAGUAAUAAUAAUAAAAUAUAUAUUUUGGAUCAAUAAUUAUAGUUAGGAAAGUUUCUAGGUUUGGUCUAAAAAAUCUAUAAAUAAAUAAAAAAAAUAAAAUAAAAGAAUAAGACCUAGUAUAAAAUUAUUAAGUAUAACAUAUAAUGUUUGACUUUGAAUCAAUACUGAUGAUGAGAUGUCCAUUCGGAACGUAAGAAGUCACAAUUUCGAAUAAAUUUUUUUAGGUAAGGGAUUUUGAUUAAGACUCUAUCAGUACGAUGGGAGGGUUUUAAUUUUGAAUUUGUAUGUCCCUAAUUUUAAAUAAAUAAAAAUUAUAUAUACUUAAUUACCAAUAAGUCAAAAUAUAAAAACAAAAGAAAUAAGGAAAUGAUGAUAGCCAUAAAUAUGGUAAUAGUAAUAAUAAAUGCAAAAAAGGUGGAUAAAAUAUAUACAUGAGGAUAUAAAAGAAUAUAGGAUUAUAUAAGACAAUGAGAUUCAUGAUGAUAAAUAACUAACAAAAAAUCAAAAUUCAAAAAAUAAUAAUAAAUUCACCAUAGUGGUGGAUACGGCUAAAAUAUAAAGACAAAUACAUAUAAACAUAAAAAAAAAAUUUUGUAAGAAGGUAAAAGAAAACCAUGGUUAGUCAAAAAGAAUUUUGGUUAAAAAAAAACAUAUGCAUAAAUGAUAAUAACUAUGAAUCAAAAUAGUUGGUUUAAAAAUAUGAUUUUUAGGAAAGUAUAUGUAGUAAGAUAAAUAAGUGUUCACUUAGCAAAAUACACAAUGAAAAUAAAAGUGGUUAUAUAGGAACAAUAAGUAAAUAUAAAAUAUUCGUUCAUGGUAUAUAUGCAUACAUGGAGAAAUAAUAAAAUUUUUAAAAAUAAGCAACAAAUAUUAGAAUUUAUGAGUGCAUUACUUAUCAUUGUUGCAUUGUUAAAUGUCAUGGCAUAUAGACAUAUUCUGUAUACGAGAAUAAACCCUGAUGAUGGUACUUUCUGAGGGAGCUUGCGAAGGUGAAAAUAUACUUCCGAGUCCCACUAGUGUGAUGGAAGGGCUCGAAGAAUAUUUUUAAUAAAGGCUUCCGAUUGUAGUAGGUUUGCAUUCAUGAAAAAAUAUCAUUUUUACUUGCAAAUGAUUACCCCGAUGAUGAGAUAUACUCAUUAAACUUGCGAAGGCGAGUUUCUCUAGUAAUUUCUUAGGUAAGAGGAUAUUCUCAUAUCCCACCAGUAUGAUGGACGGAUUCAGGAAAUAUCCUCAAUAAAAGGUUCCGUUUAGCAUUACUCAGAUUUUGUGCUAUGCAUUUCAUAAUCAUAACAUGCACACGUCACAUUCGCAAAACCAAAUAGAGUAUUUUAAUUUGUUAAUAGAUUAUAAGAUAAAUUAAAUAAACAAUAAUUAAGGAAAAUAUAUGAUUAAAUGGUACCGUUCGUGGAAUGAGCGUCAUAGGGGUGCUAAUUUUUUCCUGUGCGUAACCGUACUCCUGAACCCAACUCUAAAUAAAAUACGUAGAGCAGUUUAUUGUUCUUUAGAAUGACCUAAAGUCGAUUUAGAACUACGUCGAAUAGAAUAAAUUUAAUAGGUGACCAAUCGCACCUACGUAAAAAAAGAUUUAUGACGACUCUUUAAAAUAUUCACGUCUAGCGGUCGGGUUUUCAAAUCUGCACAUUACUACACUGGAUGAAUCACAAGGUUGUCGGUUGUAUUUAUCUCUUAUUUGCCUAAUCUCAUAUCCAAAAGAGGCUGUAGUUGCAAAUAAUUAGUACUCGACCAUUGAGUAACAAUAUUGAGAACAGAAACUUAUCUCAUUAAGUUUAUCUCUUGUAUUACUGUAUCUGAGUAUGCAUUGCGAGUCAAAUUACCAUUGCAAGAAACUCUGGCCUGCCUUGACCCCUCUUUUAUUAUUACUUUGCUUCCCUUCAAUUUCAGUUCAUCUGCCAUACAACUCCUUAGCAAGGGCCAGAACAGACAGGAUUCAGCUUAUUUCCAUUAAAGUUAGAACUGUUUAAUUCCAUGAAAUUAGAUAGACCAAACUGGUAUUACAAAAGGUAUGAAAACCACCCUCCUGCAAGAUUUACUUCAUUCGGUUCAGAAAACUGGAGAAAUAGAAACCAUGUGCUCUCACUCCAAUUAAUAUCACUUAGGGGCUAAAAAUGAUUGUCAAAUGAUGAAAUAAUUUGAUAGGCAAAAGAAAAUAAGUAAAGGAAAUUAAAUACAGGUAAAGCAAGCAGAAUACAACCCGGUAGAUAUAGGCACAUAUUUCAAUCAGUUUUCUCCUUAAUUUUGUUCUUGUUUGUGUUAUGCCGAGACUGGAAUGGAUUUGUUGGUUGUUGUGAUCUCUAGUUUUCAAGACAGUGAGCACAUGGCAGAGUUUUUGGGGUUGAGAAACUCUGAAACAGUAGGAGGCUGCUGAGGGGAUUUCAUUGAGUGGCAGUGGGAGGCAUGGAUUUUCUAGAGGCGUUGCAAAUUUUGACCUAAGAUCAGUAACUAACAUUAAGUAUGAUAGAGCGACAUGUUAUCUAAAUUAAUCAUGUACAAAUCCAAAAGCAUUCUCUUAAUUUCUUCUACUAGUCAAAUUAGGUAUCGAGAUGAUUGCAUGUUUAUAUUAGAAGAAUCAAAACCUUUGAAAAAUUUACCUAAUAUAACUAUUUUCAUCAUCACAUAUAUAUACUGGUUGAUGGUAAACUUUGAACUGCGAUUAAUUCUUUUUAUUAUAUCCAAAUUCCUGUCUAUCUUUUCUACCAUUAAGUCUACAUUAGAAGGAUUAAUUGUUUAGGAUCACACGCCCACCUUAUCAGAGAUAAAAAGAAAUUUAAAUAUGAUUUUUUUAUAUUAAAAGAAAAGAAUUCAAAUUUUUCUCUUUAAAUAGAGAGAUUAUACACUAAUUAAUAAAUUAAAUGCUCGGAUACGUAAUCCUAAAAUAAACAGUGGUUAUCAAUCAAUUUAUAUCAUUAACUCUUUACUAGACUCUAUGAAUAUAGCUAUGAGAUUGCACUCCCACUUGGUUUUAUAGCUACUCAAAAAGCACACAGUAAAGUUUUUGGUUGUUUUCUCAUAGAUUUAUUUCUCUACGAAACUGUAUGGGAUAAAGGCCAUUCAAAGAUGUAUAUAUUAUCAGUUGUAUAGCCGUAAAUCUGCAAAUCUAUCAACGUUUGACAAUUCUAUUCAUAAACAUAGUUGAGUAGAUGAUUGUCUUUUAUAAAAUGGAUCGAUUUUAGAAUUCUCAUAAUCUGCCUUUAUUCAUGUUAGACUUAAAUAAAUGGUUGGGUCGUUUUCUAUUAAUCUAAAAUUUUAAAAUAAUUGAUAAUUAACCUAAUUUUAAUUAUAUAGUAUUAAAGUUAUUGAAUUCAAAUUUUUAAAAAACACGUCUUCUUUCUUCUAAUAUUUCAUUAUCAAGAUUGUUCAUUAGACUGUGUAAUACUUCGUAAAUUUUUUUUUCAUGUCUACACAUAAAUUCGUUAUUUAUUAACUCAACUUUAAUGUGAAAAUGUGUUAAAAUUAAAAUAUAAUGCUUAAGUCGUUUUCUAUCGAUUUAAAUUUUUGGGCUAAUAGGUAACCUAUUUUCGUAGUCUGAACAGAAUGUGUAUAUUAGGGCUCCAAAUUCUAAAGAAUCAGAUGUAUAUACGACUCUUCAGAAUAAAUAUUCUUAGAGAAAAGAGAAAGUAUGAGAACCUCUACACUUAUGUUUGGAAGAAUAUAUGCAAAGCUAUCAGGAACUCUAGUUUCUCUUCUUUGAUGUGACAAUUAAAGCAAAAAGGUAAGGAUGUUCAUCUAUUUCACAGUAUUAUUAUAUCAUUAAUAAUAAAAAGAUAGAGUUUAUGCUACUUGCUACACACCAUUAUAGAGCUUGCAAGUAGGCAAAGUUGCGGACGAAACUGUAAAAGCUUAAACUAAAAACAGAGGGUUUUAUUUUAUUAUUGUUAUGUUGUUGGACAGCUUAAAGAAACAGACACAGUUAUUUAACUAAGUUCCACCAUAUACAUGGUUGGAUAUGCAAACAUGCUAGACAAUUAUUAAAAUCCCCCAUAGCCGAUCCAACAAGAGUUUGCUGACAGAAAACCUGAUCCAUCCCACUCAAGCGUCUUCCCCAUAACCUUUUUAAAUAAAAGAAUAAGACCCAGUAUGAAAUUAUUAAGUAUAAAAUAUAAUGUUUGACUUUGAAUCAAUACCGAUGGUGGGAUGUCCAUUCGAAACGCGAGAAGUCGCAAUUUCGAAUAAAUUUUUUUAGGUAAAGGAUUUUGAUUGAAACUCCAUUAGUACGAUGGAGGGGUUUUAAUUUUGAAUUCCUAUGUCCUUAAUUUUAAAUAAAUAAAAAUUAUAUAUACUUAAUUACCAAUUACUCAAAAUAUAAAAAAGAAAAGAAAUAAGGAAAUGAUGAUAGCCAUAAAUAUGGUAAUAGUAAUAAUAAAUGCAAAAAAGGGGUGGAUAUAAUAUAUACAUGAGGAUAUAAAACAAUAUAGGAUUAUAUAAGACAAUGAGAUUCAUGAUGAUAAAUAACUAACAAAAAAUCAAAAUUCAAAAAAUAAUAAUAAAUUCACCAUAGUGGUGAAUAUGGCUAAAAUAUAAAGACAAAUACAUAUAAACAUAAAAAAAAUAAAUUUGUAAGAAGGCAAAAGAAAACCAUGGUUAGUCAAAAAGAAGUUUGGUUAAAAAAAAAAACAUAUGCAUAAAUGAUAAUAACUAUGAAUCAAAAUAGUUGGUUUAAAAAUAUGAUUUUUAGGGAAGUUUAUGUAGUAAGAUAAAUAAGUGUUCACAUAGCAAAAUACACAAUGAAAUAAAAGUGGUUAUAUAGGAACAAUAAGUAAAUAUAAAAUAUUCAUUCAUGGUAUACAUGCAUACAUGGAGAAAUAAUAAAAUUUUUAAAAAUAAGAAACAAACAUUAGAAUUUAUGAGUGCAUCACGUACCAUUAUUACAUUGUUAAACGUCAUGGCAUAUAGUCAUAUUCUAUGUACGAGAAUAAGCCCUGAUGAUGGUACUUUUCAAGGGAGCUUGCGAAGGUGAGUUUUUUUGAAAAAUUCCCUAAGUGAAAAGAUAUUUUCGAAUCCCACUAGUAUGAUGGGAGGGCUCGGAGAGUAUCUUUAAUAAAAGGCUUUCGGUCGUAGUAAGUUUGCAUUCACGAAAAAAAAUAUUAUUUUUACUUGCAAACGACUACCCCGAUGAUAGAAUUUACUCGUUAAACUUAUAAAGGCGAUUUUCUCUAGUAAUUCCCUAAAUGAAAGGAUAUUCUCAGAUCCUACCAGUAUGAUGGGUGGAUUUAGGAAAUAUUCUCAAUAAAAGGUUCCGUUUAGCAUUACUCAAAUUUUUUGCUAUGCAUUUCAUAAUCGUAACAUGCGCACGUCACAUUCGUAAAACCAAAUAGAGUAUUUUAAUUUGUUAAUAGAAUAAAAAUAAAUUAAAUAAAUAAUAAUUAAGGAAAUAUAUGAUUAAAUGGUACCGUUUCUGUAACAAGCGUCAUAAAGGUGCUAAUCUUUCCCUGUGAGUAACCAUACUGCUGAACCCAACUCUAAAUAACAUACAUAGAGCAAUUUGUUAUUCUUUAGAUGGACCUAAAGUCGAAUUAGAACUACGUCGAAUAGAACAAAUUUAAUCUGUGGUCAAUCGCACCUAGGUAAAAAAAGAUUGAUGGCGACUCUCUAAAAUAUCCACAUUUAGCGGUCGGGUUCUCAGACCCACAUGAUAGUACACUGGAUGAACCAUAAGGUUGUCGGUCGUAUUUAUCUCUUAUUUGCCUAAUCUCAUAUCCAAAAAAGGCUGUAGUUGCAAAUAAUUAGUACUCAACCAUUGAGUAACAAUAUUGAGAACAGAACCUUAUCUCAUUAAGUUUAUCUCUUCUAUUACUGUAUCUGAGGAUGCAUUGCGAGUCAAAUUACCAUUGCAAUAAACUCUGGCCUGCCUUGACCCCUCAUUUAUUAUUACUUUUCUUCCCUCCAAUUUCAAUCCAUCUGCCAUACAACUCCUAAGUAAGGGCCAGAACAGGUAGGAUUCAGUUUAUUUCCAUUAAAGUUAGAACUGUUUAAUUCAUGAAAUUAGAUAGACCAAACUAGCAUUAUAAAAGGUAUGAAAACCACCCUCCUGCAAGACUUAUUUCAUCCGGUUCAGAAAACUAGAGAAAUAGAAACCAUAUGCUCUCACUCCAAUUAAUGUCACUUAAAUGUUUAAAUGAUUGUCAAAUGAUAAAUUAAUUUGAUAGGCAAAAGAAAAUAAGUAAAGGAAAUUAAAUACAGGUAAAGCAGGCAUAAUACAUCUCGGCAAAUAUAGGCAUAUAUUUCAAUUAGUUUUCUCUUUAAUUUUGUUCUUGUUUGUGUUAUGCCGAGACUGGAAUGAAUUUGUUGGCUGUUGUGAUCUCUAGUUUUCAAGAUAGUGAGCACAUGGCAGAGUUUUUGGGGUUGAGUAAUGGGAUUCGACCUCAUGCUUAAACAUGAAAAUAAUCAAUAAUUAAAAUAAUAAUGUAGCGAAAAAAUAAAAUAAUAUUUAAUCAGAGAAACAGUCAAAUCCUACAGGAUCAAUGUUUGUGUUUUUCAUGUAACUUUUAAAUUAAUAAUGAACACUUAUAAAUUUAAUAGUUACAUACCUUACUCUGGAUAUCGUAAUCAAGAGCCAAUUAAAUUCACAUCUUUGCUUCUUCACCUGUAGGAUUUGUCAAAUCUUUAGCCACCCAAGUGUUUGGCCUCUAAUAGUAAUCCACACAGUGACUGAAUAAGACCUUCUCAAAGGUAGGAUUUUUACUUAUGCUAGCAAGUAUUAUUUCUAAAACAAAAAGGCUAAAAUUCUUGCUGAACCUUAUUUUUGUCAGACAAAGAAAACUAUUUUUUCUUUUUUUAUUUUCUGAAACAGUUGAGAAGUGGUUUUUUGAGACUUCUUAUUCUAGUUUGCUAAUAACAUAUUUAUAUAGCCAAACUAAUUUGUAACUCCAAAUAUAACAGUUGUAUUUUAAUUUAAUUAAGUCUCUGAAAACUUAAUUAAUUUCUCACUUUAUUUUGGUCUCUUUCAAUUAAGUCCAAUUUAAUUAAUUAUCCUUAUUUAAUCUCAAUCAUGUCACUUAAUGCGUGUGACCCAUUAGGCUUCUAACAUGUUGGCAAUAACUAUAAAUCAUAAUCAAAUAUUAAUUUGAUAAUUAAUUUAUAUUUAUAGAUCAUGAGCGGAAUCUAGCAAUACAUCAUGACCACUAAAAUGUUAGAGAGUCAAUUAAAGAAUUUGACAAAGCCCUUUAGUGAUAAGCCUCUCAGUGCAAUACGGUCAUUUCAUCAAAUAUCCUGGAUGUCAUUAAGCAUGGCUCAGUGUCUACUUAUAACAUUCCAUAUUAGUUCCCAUAAUUCAUGACUAACCUUAUGAAUUUAGAAAACUAACUUUCCUCAAAUUCAUCAUGCUUUGGCCAAAGACUUUAUACAAGUUAAUUAAGAAUUGAGAACAAGUGAGAUACAUCCCCUUAUAUCACUUAGGGUGAUGAAUCCUCUCUUGACCACUCAUUCACCUUUGCAUACUUCAUGGCAUACCCAAAAGCACCCUAUUUAGGCAUCUGGUUGCUUCCAAACCCGUAAGGGUGAAAUUAAAGUAUGCCAUUCCCCAUACAAGAUGACUUGGUGUCUCAAGUCUAAGGACUAGUUGCAUGACUAUCACAUGAGAAUAUUUUUCAUAGACACUUGAGUGAAAUACCAAAUGGAGUUUUCAUAGCGGGUCAUGUUCAGUGAACUUGUUCUUUAACAAGUACCUACACGUUAUCCUCAAGUAUCCCAUAUAUUUCAAUUUAUGAGAUUGAUUGCUUACUUUUCAAGUAAGGAGGCUUAACAUGUACCGGUUUAUGAGCAUUGUCAAUGCCUUGUCUUGACAGUACAAUGACCAGGAACAAUUUUAGGAACAUGGUUUUGAUGCAUAGUUAUCUCAUAAUUGUAACAACUUUACAAUUCUCUUACAAGACCUUUAUGUUCCAUAGGCUUAAUCCAAUUAGUACUUAAUAACUCUUUGUUAUUGCACUAACAUGAAGAAAAACCUCUAUCACAUAUAAUUAUGUGAUUAAAUAUGCAUUAAAUGACAAUAUAUAUUUAUUGAUCAAUCUAAUUGGCUCAAGGGCAUAUACCAACAAUCUCCCACUUGCACUUGAGUCAAUUGCUAACAUAUCCAAUAUCAAACUCUUUUGCUUAGCAAUUGUGUCUCUACUAGGACAACUCAAAUUGCAAUCUUUGAGAAUAUGUUAAUUUAUAUGUUUGACAAUCUCCAUUGUCAUAAUCGAAAUACUAAUUUAGAUCACAACGAGACCUUGAUUCUAUUAUUAUGGCUCUUGUUGUUACUUUAACAACUCGAAAUCCUUUAUUGGUUCAUUAAACCAGUGAUUCAAAUAUCUCCUCUUUUGUAGCUUAAACAAAAUAUUUGUAUCCAAUUAUAGAUAUAAUCAUGCAGUUAUCUCUUGUUUUGGAACCAGUCCAAUAUAACUACUUAAUCAUGACUUUAUAUCACUUUUAACAUUUAUGAUUCUCUCAAUGUUAAACUCCUUUAACAUGUAAUCUUAAAUUCUUUUGUUGAAUCCCUUUUUAGGCUCUAGCUUUUAGUCCUAUUUUUUUUCUUAGAUUGGUAACUAUAUCUUAUACACUUUUAAUGAGUAACUUAUCUUACUCCCAUUAACCUUAUGAUGCGCACAAAAUAUGUUUAUCUUAUUCAAUUUAUUCAACUAUUUUGAAUUUAUUACAUUGAAUAGAGAUUAUUAUCCAAUUAUUCAUGUUGAAUUAUUUAGUAAACUCAUCUUACAUGAGUAGUGCAUCAAUAUGCAUCCUACUAAUGGUUUGUAUUUAAUGGAUUUAUCUCAUGAAUUAUGCAUCUUUAUGCAUCCCAUUAAAUCAAUUUUUGUGCAUAGAUCUUAUCUAUUAGAUUUCAUAAUUUCAUGACCUUUGACUUUUAAAGUGUCAUUAGCUCCCAUUAUUUCUAUCAUGUAUAGAAAUCUUUCCAGGUAAACUUAUUUUCUUUCCUUUGGGGUGUUAUAUCCAUAACUUUUAUGUAUACUAACAUGUCAUUAGUCAUUCAUCAUUGGUUAUGGGAUAAAAUCCUCUCAAAGGUUAGUUUAUGUGAUUAAUUGGAUUUGGAAUGCUUUGUGAUUCAUCUCUUAUGAAUUAAAUAUGAUAAUCAAUUUUUAUUUAGUUCUAAGCAAUCUUAAUUUAGAUCCAAGAUUUCAUUAAGAAUGCUCCUUAACUAAAUAUGUUCAUAAUCCUAUUAUGAAUUCAUUGAGUUAUGACUCAAUUUUAUCUAAGUCAACUCAUUAACUUCCUUUUUGAUUCAUAAUCAAAAGAAAAAUAAUAUCACAAUAAUCUUAUCAUUAUGACUUAGUAUUGAUUAUCAUAAAUGCAAGGUUAUACUUUAAAAAUAAAUAAUUUAGAACAAUUUCAAAAUAAAAUGAGAUGUAAUGUAAAUAUAUAAAUAUAUAUAAGCUAAGCAUCUCAUGCUAGCAAAAUAUAAAUCUAUGUUUCCUAAACAUAAAAUAAAUAUUUAGCCAUAGGUCUAAAACCAAAAACAUCUCAUCUUGAUGAUCAUGCCAUGAAAAUAUUCAAUGUUCUAAAAUUAAUUAUUAUUCCAUAAUCUAAUCUAGGUCGAUAAGCUUGAUCACCAUCAACUAAGGUUGUCCCCUUCAUGAUCCUAUUCUUCACUGUUUCUUAUCAUUAGUUCCUUCAAUAUGUCAUACAUAUUAAAACCAUUAAUAAAGAAUAAGGUAUCAUAUGCCAAGUAGUGAAAAAUAAAUCAUCAUAUGAUUCAUACCUGAUGUGGAAGCUUCUUUUUGUUUCUUCCCUUUGAUGGAUUCAAGAUAAUCCUUGCAAUUGUGCCUCCAAUGCCCUAGUUUGCCACAAAAAUGACAUUUGUCAUUGUCCUUGUCCUUCUUCACUCUUCUAGUAGGCUUUAUACCUUUUGAAGUUGAUGCCUUUUCAUCCUUGGCUUUCUUAGAAAAUUUUCUUUUCUUAUUUUUAUUUUUCUUAGAAGAGACAAGAUGAAUUGAAGGCUUCUCCUUCGUAAUGGUGUUCUCAGCCUGUGUGAGCAUAUUUAAUAAGCCUGAAAGGGUUACCUCAAUCUUAUUCAUGUUGAAGUUCAACACAAACUUGGAAUAGCUCUUUGGUAGCGAAGAAAGUAUAAGGUCUAUGUUCAUAUCAUGAUCCAUAACCCAACCUAGCUGCUCAAGUCAAGUGAUAUAUCUUAUCAUUUUAAGCACAUGAGGCCUUACUAGGCUUCCCUCAAACAUCUUACAUCGGAACAAUUCCUUUGAAAUGUCAAAUCUCUCUGUGCAACUUUCCUUAUCGAACAUUUCUCUAAGGUUUAGGAUAAUAUCUUGAGCAUUCAUAGCUUCAUGUUGCUUUUGAAGAUCUGGAGCCAUACUAGCCAACAUCACACAUGUGGCUUGAUCGAGAUCAUCCAUAUAAACUCUAUAGGUCUCUUUUUCCUCAUUUGUAGCAUCAUCGCUAGGUUUCUCGGGAACAAGACCAGUCAAUGAAAUUUGGGCCUGUCAACUUGUUUGCAUCAAGUAUGCUUCUAAGUGAUAAACUAUUCGCCAUGAUAGAUUUAUAUCCUAUAUAAAUCAAUAUAUAUGAUUAUUAGUCAUUAACGCAAAUUAUAUAAUCAUAAAGACAAGGUUUUAGAAUCUUAUAUGAUUAUUCUCAAUAUUUUAUCAAAAUAACAACCUUUCUCUACUAUUUCGAGAAAUUUAACCUUUAAACUUCUUAUUGAGCUAGGACCCUUUUAUCCCACCAUGACCUUGAGUGACUCAACAAGCCAUAAUGAAACUAAUUAGGUAGAUAACUUAGCUUAUCAAUUGUAUCUUAUACAACUCCUAGAUCAGUUAGGUGACAACUUUUUGUCUAAAUAUAUCAUAUAUAUUUUGCCUAACUAUGCCUCUAAUACUAUGCGGUCAUGUGUCACACAUCCGAACAACAUGGUACUAGUUGAGUAAGACCCACCAAUAACUCAAACGUACUCGUGUAAAAGUUUGGCCUUGAGUGACUCAACAAGCCUCCAAUUAAAAGAGUAACCUAGUUAUCUUAUUAUAUGGUGGAAGGUAACUUUUUGACUCAAUAUAUUAAUGAGGGAUUUUUAUUUAUUAAUUCAUUAAUUAUUAAGGUCUCAUUGAUUUGGCAUUGUUGACAUAAAUAGCAUUUAUCACAUUUCAUAUAUAUCAUAUGUAUAUAUAUAUAUAUACUUAAAAUAAAUCUAUCUCAUGCCAACUACUAGGAUGAUUGUGGACUUUACUAAUUCUAAUUUCCUCGAGCCAUUAAGGAAAUUAGUUGGUCAAAUUCCUAAGGGAUUUACACAAAUAUCAUCUUCAAGCUUUGCUUGUAAUCUCCUUGAAUUUCCAAGGCGCCUUUGGAUCUCCAUCUUCAAAUUACAAAAAUUUUUCUAUCUAACCCUAGUUUUACACUUUGAUGUAACUAAUUACAUUUUACAAUCAAGAAACCUCGAGUUACAUUUGAGAGGAGUUAGGUGAGAAAAGAAUUUUACAACUCAAAGAAAAUAGAAAUAAGGCAAGGUGCGCAGACUCUAUUUUAAAAUAAAUACCAAGAGAAAUAAAUUUAACCAUCCAUGACCUAAACUUCUAAGGUCUAAGUCCAUAAUCAUCAUCAUGCUUUAUAAUCAUAAUCAAAAGCAUAGAAAUAAAUGCAAGCUCAAUAUUACUUGGUGAUCUUGUGUGUUAUUUGAGAAAAAUAUCAAUUAAUUCACUUAAAGUGCAAGAUUCAAAUUAUUUGGUAUUGUUUUAUUUCAAUUUAGUGUUUAAGAAAUUCUCAAUUUCAAAACACUUAAAGUGAACCUUUUUCUUCUUAUUUCUUAGAAGAAAUUCAUUGAAAUAAAACUUUCCAUUUUAAUUCUUUCCAUAAUUAAAACUCCUUUUAAUUUUGGAAACCAUUUUAUUUUAGGUAAACUUCCUAAAGUAUAUCUAAGACAACAUUUUAAUUUUUAACAUAUAGAACAUGGAUUAGUUUCCUAAAUUGUAUGUUGUUCAAGUUACCUAAAUGGUGACUUAACAAAUUUUAGAAACUUCUAAUCAAACCAAAAUUUUAAGAAAAGUUCACUGCUAUCACAUAACUUUAGGAAUUUCUUUUAAAGUAGGAAACUAUUUCCUAUUAAUUCUCCAAAUCAAAAUACUAUCCUUAAUUUUAAGAACUCCUUUUAAAGUAGGAAACAAUUUCUUAUUUUUAUGAAUCACCAAAAAUUAAAAUUCGAUCCUUAAUUUUAGGAAUUGCUUUUAAAGUAGGAAACAAUUUCCUAUUUUUAUGAAUCACCCAAAAUUAAAAUAUAUGGUAUUUAAGUGCUCUUAAAACUCCAUAAAUUAUGAGUCAAACUCAUGAAAAAGUUGCUGAAAAUUUUCAGCAAGUGUGUUUAACAAUUAAACACAAAAUUCAUGAAGAAUUAAGCCACCAAAACUGAUCAUAGCUGUCCAAAAUUUUCUACAUUGAAUCUUUGUUGUUUUGGAACUUGGAAACAUGAUUUUUAUGAACUUUUUUUCAUAUUAAAUCAAGUCUAGCUGAAACAUGCAGUAAUCUAAUUUGAUAAACUAAUUUUUAACAAUUAAAAACUGUUUAAAACACUUACCCAAUGUUAGUAAAAAUAAUUGGUACAUUACACCUCAAAACUAUUUGGUUUUAACUUGGCUUCGCAAGCCUUUUAAUCCAUUCAUUAAUUCUUCAACUAAACAUGAUCUUAAACCUUUUAAAAUAUAUUUUAAUGAAUUAAUUACAUGCUGUCCAGAUUUGAAUUAAAAUAAAAAAGUAAAAUUUUAAGAAAACCUUUAAAAUUGAUAUAUACCAAAUCAACACACAAAUCAAUCCUAUUGAUUAUCACCAAGAAUAAGCAUACUUAUUACAUGAAAAACAUCAAAUAAUGGCUCUGAUACCACUGCUGGGAUUCGACCUCAUGCUCAAAUAUGAAAAUAAUCAAUAGUUAAAAUAGUAACACAGUGAAAAAAUAAAAUAAUAUUUAAUCAGAGAAACAGUUGAAUCCUACAGGAUCAAUGUUUGUGUUUUCAUGUAACUUUUAAAUUAAUAAUGAACACUCAUAAAUUUAAUAGUUACAUACCUUACUUUAGAUAUCGUAAUCAAGAGCCAAUUAAAUCCAAAUCUUUGCUUCUUCACCUUUAGGAUUUGUCAAAUCUUUAGCCAUCCAAGUGUUUGGCUUCUAACAGUAAUCCACACAGUGAUUAAAUAAGACAUUCUCAAAGGUAGGAUUUUUACUUGUACUAGCAAGUAUUGUUUCUAAAACAAAAAGACUAAAAUUCUUAUUGAAUCUUAUUUUUGUCAGACAAAGAAAAUAAUUUUUUCUUUUCUUAUUUUCUGAAACAGUUGAGAAGUGGUUUUUUGAGGCUUCUUAUUCUAGUUUGCUAAUAUAACAUAUUUAUAUAGCCAAACUAAUUUGUAACUCUAAAUACAAUAGUUGUAUUUUAAUUUAAUUAAGUCUCUAAACACUUAAUUAAUUUCUCACUUUAUUUUGGUCUCUUUCAAUUAAGUCCAACUUAAUUAAUUAUUCUUAUUUAAUCUCAAUCAUGUCACUUAAUAUGUGUAACCCAUUAGGCUUCUAACAUGUUAGUAAUAAAUAUAAAUCAUAAUCAAAUAUCAAUUUGAUAAUUAAUUUAUAUUUAUAGAUCAUGAGCGACAUCUAGCAAUACAUCAUGACCACUCAAAUGUUAGAAAGUUAAUUAAAGAAUUUGACAAAGCCCUUCAGUGAUAAGCCUCUCAGUGCAAUACGGUUCUUUCAUCAAAUAUCCUAGAUAUGUCAUUAAGUAUGGCUCAGUGUCUACUUAUAACAUUCCAUAUUAGUUUCCAUAAUUCAUGACUAACCUUAUGAAUUUAGAAAACUAACUUUCUUCAAAUUCAUUAUGCUCUGCCCAAAAACUUUAUACAAGUUAAUUAAGAAUUGAGAACAAGUGAGAUACAUCCCCUCAUAUCACUUGGGGUGAUGAAUCCUCUUUUGACCACUCAUUCACCUUCGCAUGCUUCAUAGCUUACCCAAAAGCACUCUGUUUAGGCAUCCGGUUGCUUCCAAACCCAUAUGGGUGAAAUCAAAGUAUGUCAUUCCCCAUACAAGAUGACUUGGUGUCUCAAGUCUAAGGACUAGUUGCACGACUAUCACAUGAGAACAUUUUUCAUAGACACUUGAGUGAAAUACCAAAUGGAGUUCUCAUAACGGGUCAUGUUCAGUGAACUUGUUCUUUAGCAAACACCUAAACGUUAUCCUCAAGUAUCCCAUAUACUUCAAUUUAUGAUAUCGAUUGCUUACGUCCCAAGUAAGGAGGCUUAACAUAUACCAGUCUUUGAGCAUUGUCAAUGCUCUGUCUUGACAAUACAAUGACUAGGAACAAUUUUAGGAACAUGGUUUUGAUGUAUAGUAAUCUCAUAAUUGUAACAAUUUUACAAUUCUCUUACAAGGCCUUUAUGUUCCAUGGGCUUCAUCCAAUUAGUACUUAAUAAGUCCUUAUUAUUGUACUAACAUGAAGGAUAACCUCUAUCACAUAUAAUUAUGUGAUUAAAUAUGCAUUAAAUGACAAUAUAUAUUUCUUGAUCAAUUUAAUUGGCUCAAGGGCAUAUACCAACAUUGAGAAACUCUGAAACAGCAAGAGGCCACUCAGGGGGUUUCAUUGAGUGGCAGUGGGAGGCAUGGAAAGAUUCCGAACCACUUUGGGAGGACUCUGGACACUGAAUUUAGGUCCAUCCGGAGCAACAGGUGAGAAGUGAGGUAGGAAUGGUCUCAUGGUCUUUGGACUUUCUUGUUAAGAAGCUGAAUCUCCUUCUCGUUCACAUCAAGGUUGACAGAUGGGAGCGGCAAUCUCCAUGGGAAGUCCACGCUAGGUUGAGUUGGCACCAAUGGUUGGAUGCAUAGCACAGAUCCUAUGUUGAGUCUUUGUCUACAGAGUGGAAUGUUGGAUCUGGUCCAUUAGUAUGUAGGAAGGGUCUCAGAUUGUUAUGUGAUGAUUCUGGUUAGGGAGGCCCAAGGGGGAUUGAAUUCUUGUUUUUGCUUUUGGAGUUUGAUCCCAUAUACAACUUGAUGUGAUGACCUAUUGUAAUGGUUUUGAUCCAAAGAGUCAUUGGAGAAGAGGCACGGCUUGUGCCAACUCUACAAUGUCCCGACACUACCGCAAUUGGGUAGCAUGUAAAGUUCAUUGAUGGAAAUGAAAUUGCUAAUUUUCAAAAAGAGGUGGUAUCGUUCUAUACCAUAUAUUGAAAUCAUUUUAAUAAUGCAUUGAGAGAUUAUGUGGUUGCAACAAGGUUAUGUUCAUAGGCUCAAAAAAAUUGACAAUUCAAAAUUAAGGCUCAAAAUGGACCGAUUUCAGAAUUCUUACACUAUGCCUUUAUUCAUGUUUGACUUAAAUAAAUGGUUGGGUCGUUUUCUAUUAAUCUAAAAUUUUAAAAUAAGUGAUAAUUAACCUAAUUUUAAUUAUGUAGUAGUAAAGUUAUUGAGUUCAAAUCUUUGAAAAACACGUCUUUUUUCUUCUAAUAUUUCAUUAUCAAGGUUGUCCAUUAGAUUGUGUAAUAUUUCUUUAAUUUUUUUUAUGUGUGCACAUAAAUUCAUUAAUUAUUAACUCGACUUUAACGUGAAAAUGUGUUAAAAUUAAAAUAUAAUAAUUAAGUCAUUUUCUAUCGAUUUAAACUUUUGGGUUAAUAGGUAACUGAUUUUCGUAGGCUGAACAGAAUGUGUAUAUUAAGAUUUCAAAUUCUAGAGAAUCAGAUGUAUGCACGACUCUUCCAAAGUAUAAGUUAAAAAGGGUCAAAUCCUCAUAAAAAUUUUAGAAUAAAUAUUCUUAGAGAAAAGAGAAAGUAUGAGAAGCUCUACACUUAUGUUUGGAAGAAUAUAUGCAAAGUUAUCAGGAACUCUAGUUUCUCUUAUUUGAUGUGACAAUUAAUGCAAAAAGGUAAGGAUGUUCAUCUAUUUUUCUUAACAUCAAGUGGUAAAAUUUUCUUUAAUCAUUCUAACUCUACCAUUCGAUAUAACUAUUCAAUUGCUUCAUGAAGAGGGCAAGAUUCAAGUUUCCGAUUGCUUGGCCAUUAACGGCAAGCCAUUCCCUUCCUACUCCUCGGCAAUAGCUUUUCUUUUAUUUGUGUUGGUUUUUAGUAUGAAACAACCAUUCAUUAGGAACGUGUGAAAAUCGAUUAUCAAGCAUGCAUUGAUAUUGAUUUGUACUACAGAUAAGAGAAAGGUGCAUUGGAUGAAUGUGGAUUAAUCCUCGUUUCUGGAGAUUAUCGGUAAGUUCAUUACCGUUAAUUACUUUCCUAGUGGCAAGGAUUGGGCUGUGCAGUGUUGGAGAGCCAGAAAAGGGGCACUCUUUCAUUGCAAUAAGGUCUACCGUUCUAGCGUUGUUGGAUUUCUUUUGGGAUGCCAGCCCAAUGGUAACUGAGUUCCUAAUUAUGUCCAAAACCUCCCCGAAUUAACACUUACUCUGCUGUAGAAAAGUUGGCACUGGGUCUGAUUUAUCAAUAGUGGAGAUUAAAAAAAAUUAUAAAUAUUACAAUUAUUAGUAAAUUAACAUAUGAAGACUCCGUUUCCUGGAGGUGAAAGAAGAAAAUAAAAAAGCAAAAAAAAUCCAAACCUAAUUUUGCUAAACAAAGGUAUAUAUUUAUAAUUUAGCUCUUGAUUUUUGAAGUUACCUUUAUAAAUGAAAUCCCAAUUGAAAUCCUGCAACCAAACUCAGCUUGAUGUAUAUUCCAAUUGCCUGCUAAGGUUGCCACCAAUCCAUCUUUGAUCUAUGUCAAAGACUAGGCAGGCAUUUAAAAUUAGGCCCAUAAUAAUAAUAAUAAUAAUAUAUGUAUGCCCUUUGGUUUUCCAGCAGGCUAAUUGUUCAAACAUUUCCUAGCAAAUCACACUAAGAUUAAUUUGAGACUUAAUAUGCAAAAGACAAAUAAAAGUAAAGAAAAAAAAUGAAAAGUUUGUAAUAACACAGUAUUAUUAUAUCAUCAAUAAUAAGAAGAUAAAGUUUAUGCUACUUGCUACACACCAUUAUAAGAGCUUGCAAGUAGGCAAAGUUACAGAAGAAAUUGUAAAAGCUCAAACUAAAAACACAGGGUUUUAUUUUAUUAUUAUCAUGUGGUUGGACAACUUAAAGAAACAGACACAAAGUUAUUUAACUAAGUUUCACCAUAUAUAUGGUUGGACAUGCAAACAUACAUAGGAUAUGCAAACAUGCUAGACAAUAAUUAAAAUCCCUCAUAGCCGAUCCAACAAGAAUUUGCUGAUAAAAAACCUGAUCCAUCCCACUCAAGCGUCUUCCCCAUAACCUUUUUGCAAAGCAUAUUGCACAAGAGAAUUGAACUCAUCAUCUCCGCUUAUGAGAUUGUCUUUAUUUUUAUCAGCAUAAUACAUCGCCUCUUCAGUUUCCUUGUGAGGCAUUUUUGCCCCUAGAUGUUCAAAAGCCUCCCUGAGCUCAGAGCUGUUGAGGCUGCCCCACGUAGCAUAACUUUUAAACACUCUUCUCAAUUUAGGUUCUUUUGCACUUUGAUCCCUGCGCCGAGAAAUCAGUCCCAUCGCCGUGCAAGCUUGCCUUGUAUUGCUUUGAAAGUUUAGGAAGGGAGAGAUAGGCUCUUCACUACUCUUCUGCUUGGUUUAUUUUCCUUGAAUGCAAUUUAACUUGUUUAUAUAGACCGAAAACGCGAAUAAGAAUCUGUUAAAGGAGGGGAAUAAACUUUUUUUAUGGUGGUCGGUUUAAUGUAUGAUUUAGACUGAAAGCAAAGAAUAUAUAUAUAUAUAUAUAUAUAUAUGAUUUUUUCCUUCUUUCAUCACACCCGUCGUCCUUGAAUUGUUUGAGUUGAUCACUACUACUCCACCCAAAGGCGUCUAUCGAUU
rnacentral:lncRNA from 1 species